CCUCCUCUUCCUGUGUGGAACCUGCGAUUUCAAGGGCCGACAGGAAGCCUCGAUCGGGGAACUCUGACCUUGCGGAGGAAACUUGUUUCCCUUUUUUUCUUCCCGCCGACUUUCACUCGAUAAAACCCUGCUUUAUUCACCCUUUAAACCUUCUCCAAACCUAAAUUUUCCUGGCCUUGGGACGGACAAGAACCCAGUCUUCAGAUGAAGGAAGGAAAAGUCCUGCAACAUUCUUGGCGUGCAACGUUGGGGCUCUUGAAGAGUAAUCUACAGACAGCUUACAACAGUGCUGCACACGAUUAAUCUGACUUCACAGUGAGACGCUGAGAAAGGUGAAGUAAGUGGACUGAGAGCCACAGCUCCCAAGGGCAGUGCUUGGAUAGGAACUCAGAUCUUUACCUUCAAAGGUAAGCUACAAAUUCAAAAACUAAUAACCACAGACUAUUUUCAGUAGUAACUGAAACUAAUUCAGCAAAUACUAACUGAGUGUCUAUUGUGUAUUGACCACCUAACAAAUAGUGAAUUUUGGAAAUAUGUCAGACCUAGAUAAACUCUGAUAAUCUUGACAACUCUUCAGUCUCCAUUUACUUCAGAGGCAAUUAGAAAGAAAGAAACAGGCCUGCCUUCACUUCUCAACCAUCAGAGGCCUGUACAGACCCUUCCAGUUACUUUCCUUCCUUAUAUCAUCUGGGAAUGUAUUAAACCUGCAUUCUGGGCCUAUGGCUUUCAUACAUUCGGUCACAAAUAGAAAGCAAUGUUAAGUCCUGGGUUGCUACCUGUAAUGGCAGUCCUAUCCAGCCCCUCUCUGUCUGAUGCUAAGGCUCAAUGAAAUCAAGGCCAGACAGAAUUGAGGACCAGUCCAAAGUUAUUCUCUACUCCAUCAUUUAUUCUAAGCUGCCAGUGAUCUUUAUAAUUGGUAGCUAAUUUCUUAAUGGCAUAUCCAGUUUCUUGCUGAUAAACAAAACAGUGGCAAGGAAAACAGCAAAUAUGGACAGAUUUAGGAUUUU
rnacentral:lncRNA from 1 species